GACGAACGCUGGCGGCGUGCCUAACACAUGCAAGUCGAACGGAACUGUUUUGAAAGAUUUCUUCGGAAUGAAUUUGAUUUAGUUUAGUGGCGGACGGGUGAGUAACGCGUGAGUAACCUGCCUUCAAGAGGGGAAUAACAUUCUGAAAAGAAUGCUAAUACCGCAUGACAUAUCGGAACCACAUGGUUUUGAUAUCAAAGAUUUUAUCGCUUGAAGAUGGACUCGCGUCCGAUUAGUUAGUUGGUGAGGUAACGGCUCACCAAGACCGCGAUCGGUAGCCGGACUGAGAGGUUGAACGGCCAAAUUGGGACUGAGGCACGGCCCAGACUCCUACGGGAGGCAGCAGUGGGGGGUAUUGCGCAAUGGGGGCAACCCUGACGCAGCAACGCCGCGUGAAGGAUGAAGGUUUUCGGAUUGUAAACUUCUUUUAUUAAGGACGAAAAAUGACGGUACUUAAUGAAUAAGCUCCGGCUAACUACGUG
rnacentral:rRNA from 1 species